AAUAAGUGGGAACAGGGAGGAGAGUUCUGACUCACCGUCGUCGAGAAUGACUAAAAGAGGAGCCAGCAGGUCACACAUUCCCUGUACGUAUCCGAUGUCCAGGUGCCUCCAGAUGUAGCUGUGAAUAUGCAGCACAGAGAGCUGACCUUAACCCCAUGUGACUGCUUCUUACUCUGACUCACACUCUCUCUGCAGAUUUAGAGGCAUUCUGAAGACUACUGCUCUGACACUGGAGGGGGCGCUGUUUUACCUGCACAUGACGUUGCGCAGCUUCUCCAGGGUGCCAUGGAAACCUUGGCCUUGGGGAUCUCCUCCAUCUCUAUGGCUGAAGGAGACUCAUCAGACUCAGACAAAGCCUGGGUCUCGUCUUUCUGAGACGAGCUGUGAACUCCUCCUGAUCUUGAGGCGCCCAGAAUCUGUUCCUGUUCACAUUCCACUUUGUGCUGGCCUGUGUUCCAGGAUUCAGUUUGGCUCCUUUGUCCUUCUCUUCACUCGCCACCUGACGUUCGAUUGUCAACACUUCAGCCUCUUCCACUGCAGCUUUGGCAGAGCUCAGCGACACCGGAGGCGCAGCUGU